UUCAGAAUUGUUCCCAGUAGCCGAAAAAUUGGUUUCUGAUGAAUCGUGUGGUGCAUUGAUCCGAUCGAAUGUGUUUUUCCCAAUUUGAUUCCGAUCGAAGUGAAUGAAGUUUUCAAUUUGAUUUGGAGACAAUCUUCCUUCAAGAUUUGCAGAGUAUUUAAUAUCGUUUUCGGUCGAACAAGCACAGCUAUUGAAAGUACUUCGUUUCGUAUUUUCAAAAGCGGCUUCCUGUUGUGGGCUCCAUUGUGAAAAUUCGGAAUUAUCUCAUCAAAAGUCAAUGAGCGAUUCGAAUUCUCUAUGAAAUGGUGAUCAUCAUGUAUAUCUUUUUCUGAUCUAGACCGAAUGAUGCGGUAUUUCGAAUACUUCGCAAUGUUCCUCCAAUUGCCAUCGUCAAAUAAUAAUGGAAUAUUAUAUUGGAGGGCAACUACCUUAAUACACCUGGUGCUAUUGUAGGAGAGCGAUGAUAGAAAACUGACGACUGGAAACCACAAUU